rnacentral:rRNA from 1 species
CCGUAGGGUGGUACACCCACAAAGGGCUGGGCAAGACCGGUGCCAGCCGCCGCGGUAAUACCGGCAGCCCGAGUGAUGGCCCGAUCUUAUUGGGCCUAAAGCGUCCGUAGCUGGCUGCGCAAGUCCGUCGGGAAAUCCACUCGCCCAACGAGUGGGCGUCCGACGGAAACUGCACAGCUUGGGACCGGAAGGCUCGAAGGGUACGUUCGGGGUAGGAGUGAAAUCCCAUAAUCCCGCACGGACCACCGAUGGCGAAAGCACUUCGAGAAAACGGAUCCGACAGUGAGGGACGAAAGCCAGGGUCUCCAACCGGAUUAGAUACCCGGGUAGUCCUGGCCGUAAACAAUGUUCGCUAGGUAUGACACAGACUACGUGUCUCUGUGUGCCGUAGGAAGCCGAGAAGCGAACCGCC